rnacentral:rRNA from 1 species
AGUGAACGCUGGCGGUAGGCCUAACACAUGCAAGUCGAACGAGACCUUUGGGUCUAGUGGCGCACGGGUGCGUAACGCGUGGGAAUCUGCCCUUGGGUACGGAACAACAGUUAGAAAUGACUGCUAAUACCGUAUAAUGACUCCGGUCCAAAGAUUUAUCGCCCAGGGAUGAGCCCGCGUCGGAUUAGCUAGUUGGUGAG